rnacentral:rRNA from 1 species
AUGACGUUCGAGGAGCCCAGCAGUGUCGGGAAGCACGACUGCUCCACCAGCGGGUGUAGAAAGGCGUACACAGCGACUUGGGCCACGGCUGCCGCAGGGUCUGAGUGUCUGACGGUAGUCGGUAGCAAGUGCUCAAAGUCGAAGGUCGGCAGGAGGAAAUCGAUGCUGGCAUCCUCGCCGACCUGCCACUUGGCUUUGGCGCUGGUGACGCGCUGCACCGUGAGGCGGAAGGUGGCCGCGUCGGUGCUGAUGUACGUGGUGGGCACACGCUUGGAUGGCUGCGCCUGCUGCUUCCCUAUGCGGCCGCCCGCUGGCCCCUGCAUUCUCGUUUCUCCUUCCUCCCCUCCCUGCAGCUUGUGGCCAAGCUUGCUCCGCCACUCGCCAGGAGCUCUAGCCGGCAGCCCGGAUCACCUGCAUGAGCCUGCGGGCAUCAGGAGUUAUGCCGCGGCGGAGGAGAGCAUGUGGUGGCAGCGGCCGACAGCCAGAGAGUGGGCUACCGCGUGCAGGGGCGGCAGCAUCGAGCGGCGCUCGGUGAUGGUUUUCUACGGGAUGAUGAUGAGCAGCACACCGAGGGCCCGAAGGAGAGCCGGAGAUGUCAAGGAGGCACGGUGGAGGAGAGCCGGGCGAGGGGGCAGGUCACCGGAGGUGGAGAAGAUGAUAAGGGCGCCAGCUAUUGAGGCUCUCCCGCUUCGAUUUGGCGACCUCAUAGAUCCCCCGCAUCCAUGGCAUGCACCAAGCUCAAUAGGAUGGAGGCGUCCAUGGCGCCUAGCCCAUGUCCCCCUCGAGCCGACGCCACUGGUGUGCCAUGACCGCGAGCUCGGCCGGCCUCCUGCACCACGGUCGCGUAUGCCCAAGGUCGCAGCCUCGCUUGUGCGCGCUUCUGCAGCCCCACGCGCCUCCUCCUCGUCCGCUCACUCGUGCCCGGCCGUGCUCCGAGUGAGCACGGCCGCACCCUGGCCCUGUCCUGUGCGUGCUCCAUAG